rnacentral:lncRNA from 1 species
GCCCGCGUCACACUGUCCCGAUUUUUACGCCGAUGGCAACACGAUAAUGGAAAUUUUCAAAAUCGGGACUGAUCGUAUCCAGAUCGGGCUAUUCGUAGUGCCAUCUUUAACCAUCGUAGAACCAUCGGCCACUUUUUCUAGCCUUCGGGGACAACUUCGGGAAUGGUUCUAAAUUUUUUAACAUGUUAAAAAAUCCCCGAAGUUGCGUCCGAUGUUGAGGGUUCGUAUUGAGUUCGUAUCACCAUCCUCACCAUCGUAAUGUCACCGGGAAUGCAUCUUUGAACAUCGUAUUGCAUUCGUGUUUCCAUCGUUUCCAUCGGGCAGUUUUGACAUUACGAUGUCUACACGAAUGAAUCACGAAGAUACCCGAA